GUUUACGUCCCUGUCCGACAUAAUUCUUGCAUAUUUUCCCGUCAAAAAGACAAUUGAGACAUUUUCGGAAUUCUAUUCCGACAUAUACAACUUAGGCAACUUAGGUUAGACAAAGUCAAUAAGGCGUAGACAUGAUCGUUUCGAUUUCCGCUAGUGUCAUAUUCAGUAGCCAAGUAUUUACAAAGGCAACAAUUUUUUAUAAGUUAGAGUUAAAAAGAAGAAACAAUAGAGAUCGUAAGCCAUGUGACCAGGCAGGUUGCGGGGAAAGCAAUAAGAAGACCACAAAAAGUUAUGAUGAACACCCAAGAGGAAAAUAAACAUGUCACAAAGAAAUAACAUAGAAAGAUAUGGUUAUCAUCAAGCAUUGGUUAAAAUCACAAAUUUAGCAAAUUGCAACUUGCGUAAGAACCGCAGCAGCACAAAUUUGGCAAUAAUUUAAUUAAGUAAAAAUUUGUGGCAAAUAGUUUAGUCUAGAGUCUAGAAAAUAUUAUGUUUACGUAGUUGGAAACCUGGGGCUGGGGCUGGGGCUGCUAUACACAUUAGAAGGCUCUUGCUCGUUUCGUGUCAAACAAAGGAUUGAUUUGAAUUUGAGAGCCAUUAAAUUUGACGUUAAAAGAAAGUUUGUAGCCCGAAAUAUUUCAUAUAGGUUAUAUAAAAACAGUCGUCAUUUGUCACUUGCAGAUCCCUCAGUCAAGCGAAGGAAAAUUGAGCGGUCAAACCGCAGACGUGUGAUAUGUCUAAAUUGCAACAAAGAAAUGAACCAAGACAAUGCUAAAUAUCAACACCAAUCGCAGUACAAACAUGAGAUUCUGAAGUUCAGGGACAUUGUUGAUAAAUCUCAAUAAGUACUCAGUUUUGGAGCAGUUACGACAGUGGUAAGAAGCAGUAAACAAAUUGACAAAUAAGAGAAUUUGGACUAUCUUAGGUCACCAGUGGCGUAGCCUGAACCUUUUUAUAGGGUGUUCACUUUGGCCAAAAAGGCGUGAUUGUGCGUGACAUUGAAGAGAUCUAUUGAAACUAGGUGGGGUGAACAGAUUUGAAUAACUUGUGCUGGAAUCAUUACAAUAGCGAAAUGUGUUACCUUUGUUGGGGUUUCUUACGAAGGGGAAAUUGAUGCUUGUGAACCAACUGGUGGGCUAGGCCAAUGCGCCUUUGCCCGAGUUAAGUAAAACUGAAACUUUCAACAAACGCUUACAACAUAAGCAGAAGCUAAUUAAGCAAGACAGUUUGUGCCCCACAAUAAGCGCUGACAGACACAUUAGAAAGGUGCAUACUAACAGUGGCGGCUCCAGCCUGGGAUAAGUGGGGGGGGGACAAAAGGUGUGUCAGGGACCACGCCCUGCUUUCCCCUGCUUGAAACAUUUUCUUCCCGAGGAAACACCUCUUGUCUCCUGAGAAAUGUCACUUAAAUGUGACGAUCCAAAUAACGUAUUCCCCCCCCCCCCCCGAAGUUUUUUUAUCAGAUUUUCAAGAAUCUCAAGGACCAACUUUCUGAAAGGGGGGGGGGGGGGGGACCGUGGCUCCGUGACUGCAUACUAACACAACAGGACACAGCAUGGCAUGUGACUGGCACCUGAGACAUUAAAAAAUAUAUUAAGUACAAAUCCAACCGCUACUUUUUUCCAAUGGCUGUUAAAUUGUGAAACAUUUUAAACAAAUUAGCAACUUCUACUGAACAGAGUUCUUCAAGUCUAUUGACAGCCUUUCUGCUACUCUUGCUGAAAAGGAGAAGUGUCUCAGAGGUACGUUUGAACCCUUCCUAAAAGUAUUGAACCCAGAAAUGCCGGGCACUGUCGAAGAAAUGCGCAGUCUUCUGAUGUCUGAUGUGUGAUUCUCGAUAAAAUAAAUCGUUUAUUGCUUUUAAGAUUCUAUUUAAAAUGACUUUCAUUUAUUGAUUCCACUAAAUGUAUGUGUGAUCUUUCCUUAAAUUCUGCAAGAUCUUUUUGUAAAAAUGGAGAUUUUUAGACUCUUUGUAGAACUUAAUUCUGAUUUUGUUAAUAAUUUAAAAAAUAUAAAUAUUUUUUACAGGACUGGUUCAAUUGGAGCAAAUAUUCACGUUUCUUCGAAGCUGAUAGCAAAAAACAACGCUGUGCUAGAUUGCCAGAAUCAAUUGAGGGAAAUGUUCACUAAAUAUACCACUAAUAUAUCAUAGGAAGAUGACCAGAAGAAGGAAGAAUCCAAAUUGAUCUUAAAGUACUCUUUGGCCAAAACCUCUGACUUGGCCUUGUAAGUCGAUUAUCCAUGCUUAGACCGGCAGUUGCUUAGAAAACUCUUUUGGGCACAUACAAAAUUCAGAAGCUGCUUGGUUUUUCGAAUGGCUGCAGUCUGAUGACACAGUAGACUUUUUUCAAAGAUAAUGGCGAUGAACAUCCUUGAGCACCUGAGGAGCGAACCGAUAGAGUACAAGGACAUUUAGAGAUUUCCUGAUCUGAUGGAGCAGUCAUCUCAAAAGGCUGCUUUUAGAUUCAAGAAAUUGAAAUGCGAGUAUCCAGACAGAACUUGUUCACUGUGUUCUGACUUGUGUUAUGUAAGUGAAUUACCAGGGAUCUAUUUCUUAACAAGAGAAGCAAGAGGAGGCUCUUGAGAUAUUCAAGACUGCUGACCUCAAAGGAAAACAGACUCUCUACGCAACUGUCGCUUUUCAGAGGGCUCUGACAAGUGUUUUCAAAAGCUUGAAAGUUUCACAAUAUCAGUUAAGGACAAAGAAAGGGAUGCAGACAAAUUCUACCUGUUUUGGAUGUAGUAAAAGAAAGUAAAAUGCGAGUGAAUUA